rnacentral:tRNA from 1 species
GUGGCUAUGGUGUAAUGGUAACACAGGGGUUUGUGGUACCCUUAUCGAGGGUUCGAUUCCCUCUAGCCACC